UGUCCUACGGGAGGCAGCAGUGGGGGAUAUUGCACAAUGGGGGGAGCCCUGAUCCAGCGACGCCGCGUGAGUGAAGAAGUAUUUCGGUAUGUAAAGCUCUAUCAGCAGGGAAGAAAGAAAUGACGGUACCUGACUAAGAAGCCCCGGCUAACUACGUGCCAGCAGCCGCGGUAAUACGUAGGGGGCAAGCGUUAUCCGGAUUUACUGGGUGUAAAGGGAGCGUAGACGGCGAUGCAAGUCUGAAGUGAAAGCCCGGGGCCCAACCCCGGGACUGCUCUUGGAACUGCGUGGCUGGAGUGCAGGAG
rnacentral:rRNA from 1 species